CCUAUGAACCAUGAGAUCAUGGCCUGAGUCGAAGUUGGACACUUAACCGACUGAGCCAUCCAGGAGCCCCAGCAUGGUUCUAUAUGACUUAAACAUAGUAACCAGGGAGGAGUCCCUGGUUUAGAUUCCCCCUCUUAGUUUCAUAAGUGCCACAUCCCAGGAGAUGAGGAGGAAUCAUGUGUGAAUGUUCAAAAGUCAUUCUGUAUGUUAAGUUUUCCAGGACUAGUCCAGGCACUUAUAUUGCCAUUCAUUCUAACAGAAUUUUACUGUGGCUGAGUUUUCAGUUGUGCUCAAGACACUGUGUUCUUGACUUCACUGGUAAUAUAUUAAGUCUCAGACUUCAGAUGGAGGCUCAUCAGAAAGCUUACUUUUGUUUACUAACAACUUACUUUGUUUUAAUAACAUCUUAUUUAGAAAGAUCUCACCUGCAUUCCUCUUUCCUCAACCGAUCGAUUAGGACCAAACAACUCUACCUAUCAUAGUGUCCAAGUUGUUUCAGGAACGUCCUGCCCUAGGAAGGAUCUGGUUUCCAGCCAACAGAAUAAUGGAGAUUCCUCUGGUGCUGUGGCUUGUCUGUCACAGGGUCCUUCAAAAUUGCCUACACCUCCUGUGUGCACUUAGCUUAAACAAAACCAAAGAUGUGAUAUUAUGGCAUCUGUCCAGGGGGACACCUGGCUCCAGCUGGAUUAUUCACAGCAGCCUGCUCCCCUCCUGGCAAGUAUGGAGGUUCAGUGAUGAGUGUAAGGCCCAAGUGGACAUCCUUCCUGGAUUUCUGUGUAGUGUGUGCAAUGGCACCUGGGU